GACGAACGCUGGCGGCGUGCCUAAUACAUGCAAGUCGAACGCACUCUCGUUAGAUUGAAGAAGCUUGCUUCUGAUUGAUAACAUUUGAGUGAGUGGCGGACGGGUGAGUAACACGUGGGUAACCUGCCCUAAAGUGGGGGAUAACAUUUGGAAACAGAUGCUAAUACCGCAUAAAACCUAGCACCGCAUGGUGCAAGGUUGAAAGAUGGUUUCGGCUAUCACUUUAGGAUGGACCCGCGGUGCAUUAGUUAGUUGGUGAGGUAAAGGCUCACCAAGACCGUGAUGCAUAGCCGACCUGAGAGGGUAAUCGGCCACACUGGGACUGAGACACGGCCCAGACUCCUACGGGAGGCAGCAGUAGGGAAUCUUCCACAAUGGACGAAAGUCUGAUGGAGCAACGCCGCGUGAGUGAAGAAGGUUUUCGGAUCGUAAAACUCUGUUGUUGGAGAAGAACGUAUUUGAUAGUAACUGAUCAGGUAGUGACGGUAUCCAACCAGAAAGCCACGGCUAACUACGUGCCAGCCGCCGCCGUAACAC
rnacentral:rRNA from 1 species